AAAGAUGACUAGUAUCUCCAGAGUGACAAGAAUUUUGAGGAAGAAUUCAACUACUAUCCAUUCAUUCUAUUUGUAGGCAGCUCAGGUCAUGACUUGCGCAUUAAUAAUGAAGUAAUUGAUAGAGUAUAUAAAUAUGUAAAUUUCAUUUACACAAACUUGGAUAAAAUUAGGCAGUAAAUUAUAAAUCCAAAAUCUAGAAGGUGUCUAUAAAGAUUAAGGUAAUUUUCCAUUUUCUUUAGAAUUGGCAGCACUAGCUAAAGCAAGAUCAAUAUUAAUUAAGAAACCUAGAGAGAAGAAUAAUAAAUUACUGAAAUGGGAUGGUUAACAGAACUUGUUAUGUAAUUCAGAAGUUAGAACUGUAGAAUUGGAAGUGGAAGCGACCUUAGAAACCAUCUGCUCCAAUCUUCAUAUUUUAAGGUGGGAAUAAGAAUAUUUAAUUUACAGAUGCUGAAAGGCCGUUUCAAGAUCAUUCCACUGGUUAGUAAAGACACAGAACAUGGGUUUACUGUCCCACAUAUUCCUCUGAGACAGGGAUUCUUUAUGGGGGCCCAUGAGCUUCAGGAAUCUCUGAAUACUGGGAAUUAUAGGCAUAAACUUACCUGUAUGUGAAUAUUUGAAUUUUUCUGAAGAAGACCUGUAGUAGCUUCUAUCAGAUCCUUAAAGCAGCCUUAACUCUCGGAAAGAUGAGAGCACCUGCUCUCGAAUUCAAAACCUUUUGCUCAUUAUAAUGGUUCCUACAACAUUCUAGAAUCAUUUAAAUGCUUCUAAAACUUGCAUCAGAUUUUAAAUGAGCAAACAGUAGCUCUGGCCUAAUUGGUUCCCAGAAGUUACCAUAUUCCUUGAGGGAAUCAGAUUUUACCUGGACAUACUAUCCUUUUUUUCCUAAGAACAGAGUAGUCUUCUGCUAUGGUCUCAAUGUGUCUCCCAAAAUUCAUAUGCUGAAACUUAAUAGCCAAUGUUAUAGUCUUAAGAGAUGACUUCUUCAGGAGGUGAGUAAGUCAUGAGAAGUGUGCCCUCAUGAAAGGGACUAGGGCCCUUUUAAACGGGCUUGAAAGAGUGGGUUUGCUUUCUUCCAUCCCUUGCACCAAGUGAGGACACAGCAAGAAGGCACCAUCUUGGAAGCAGAGAGCAGGCCCUCACUAGACACCAAAUGCCAGCACUUUCCUCUUGGACUUCCCAGCCUCCAGAACUGUGAGAAAUAAGUUUCUGUUCUUUGUCAGUUACCCAGUAUGUGGUAUUUUUGCAUCCAGAGUUGGUUCUUGCUGGUGGGUUUGGGGUCUUCUUUUUGAAGCCAAGCUUUAGGGCCUGUACUUGUAACAUCAUACUGUGCUUCUUUAUUCUUGAUAUAUUGUUUAUUUGCAGGUGGCAAUAGGCUUCAUCUGCACAGAGGUACACACGGGGGUAGCAAGCAGACCUGAAGGAAAGACAUCCAGAGAGAGUGGGAGGUAGUAUUUUAGCAGAUCCUUGGAGAGUUAGUGCCAAUUAGCUAAAAGCAAAGAAAUAAUAAGAGAUGAAUAUGGAAAGAUUGAUGUAACACACUGUUAAUAGACAUAAUAGCUGGUUUAUGUCAAAUGGCAGGCACAUGGAUAAAUACUUUACCUGCAUUUUAAAAUUUAGUCCUCACAAUGGCACUGCGGAGUAGAUAGAAUCAUUGUUCUCAUUUUCUGUUCAGAAAACUGAAGUGCUGUGAGGUUAAGUAAUUUGCCCAAGGUUACCCAGCAGGUAAGAUGUGAAGCCAGGCAGCUUGAAGCCACAGCUUCCUAAUGCUUCUUAUGAUUGUUAAUAAACUAACCCUGAUUUUCCACAACAGUAUGGGCACUGGGCAUAAUCUUGAACCUUUUUAAAGUUAUUAGGUGAAAAAGGUAUCCGUUGCUAUCUUAAUUUGCCGUUAUUACUAAUGAACUUUUUUUCUUAUUUGUGCAUGAAUUCUGCUUUUUUACUUUUGUCAAUUGUAGGUUUGCAAACAUUUUAAGUAACAAAUAAAACCUUUGGAAAGAUUAGCAUGGUUUUAUGCAAUGUCCCUAUUUCCUUUAAGAGAGUUUGUCACUUUAUUCCCUCUUCAUGGUUCAAUUCCAUGAGCAGAAGUGAAAACAUUCUACCAGAGAGAAUUGCAGUCUUAUAGUUUUGUAUGUCCACAGUGGUUUAAAUAUCUAUACAUUUAGCAUGAAGAGAGAUAGAGAGAGACAAAAUACGUGACUUAAUUACAAUUGCCACAAUGAAUUCCGAGUUGAUCCUGCUUCUCCCACUUCAGUUGACCACAAUUUUAAGCUUGGCAUCGCCUGAAAGCUUGAGGAAUGUAUUUGCAGUAAUUGCCAGGGCACUUCAUUGUUCCUCUGUAUACAUAAACACGAGGCUGUGAUCAGAGUGGUCAUGCUUGAGCUGUUAUCUGAAAUUCACUUUUGCUAUAAGGAUUGACUAAUCUGGUUCCUACUGACAGCGGUUUCCAUUUACUGUAUUAGCUUUCUCUCACUUCCCGCUUUUGCAUAGCUUGGCCUUUCUACCCCUCACCCCUGCCCUGUCAUUAUCUGCAGAUGUUAUCUGCCCAGCAGAUGUUGUAACCUACAGAGAUCUCAUCGUUCUCACCCUGCUGGGCUCAGCCUUCCCCACCCACUUCUGCACUGGGUCUCAGGUCCCUUUGAAAGGGAGCACUGAGGCAGGAGAGAUGGAUUGAAAUGCAAAACCUGGACUUUAUUUGAACAUGAGGUAUACACUGCAAUUUUUUGCAACCACUAUUUGAUGAUAGUUGUUUCAACACAGUUAAAAAAGUAAAUAUUUAUCUUAUGUGUCUUAAGAAUUGGAUUCCAUGCAAUAGACCACAAGGAAAUUUUUUUUCUACCUUGAGUACACCCAUGUUUCCUAAAAUGAGACAUUUUUAUGAAAGAUGGGGCCGAAAGAACAGUAGUUUUUCAAUCCCUCAGUAGUUACCACAAUCAAACCAUUAUUGCAGUUAAGAGAUUUUUUUAACGCAAGAUUUUUGUGGGAUAAUAAGUCUCAUAGGUGAGAAAAUGAGGUAACAUUAUACUGCACCUAUUUAGUAUAUGACAUGGAAAAAAUAUAAACGUGUUUAGUAUCUACUAUGAAUCAAGUGGUAUAAAGCAAAGACCCUAGCCAAUGGCAAACAAAAAGCAGUUAUUUUACCCCAAACCUAAAGGUAAAAGUUGAGAUGCGUAAUUUAUACAAGUGAAAGGUGGCACUAAAAACAUUUUUAAAAAGUAAAAUGAAGCUGGGUGGCUCUGAAAAACGAAAGAAAGAAAAUCAAUUUUUCAGUCUGGGAAAAAUAUGGAUAUACCUUUGAGAAGAAAAAUAUUUUAAUGUGAUAUCUUAGUGAGAAUACUAAAUUAUAAGCUUUAAUUUGCCUUACAGCUUUUAUUUCUCCAUCUAAGUAAUUUUGAUUGUUUUAUAUCUUUCUAAAUAUAGAUAAAAUAAACCAAGAAGAAAAGUAUGUAAGAAACAGAAAAUAUAUAUCAAGGCAUACUUCACAAAAUUCAAUGUAAAAUGACCUUUCCAUGCCUGAUUUACCAUUCUCUGUUUAAAGUAAUCUCUGUCUGGAGAAGGGAAGCCAUUGUUGAAUUCUUAGGAAAGACGAUGGCUCCAGAACUAAACAUCACCCACAGUGAUAAGAGGUUUCUG
rnacentral:lncRNA from 1 species